AUAGCUUCCAUUGGAUUCUGACAGUUAUCAACAUCACUAAGGACUUAGUUUAUGUGUGGGACCCUCUUAAUCAUCGCAUUCGCGAUGAUGAUUGGAAGCGUGUUGUAGAAAUGCUCCUCGUCAACCGGAUAGUAACCAAUGCGGUUUCUUUGUCAUGGCGUACAUGAAAACUUUAAUUGAGAAUAUGCCAGACUUCGAUGAUAAAAAUUCUGUUCAAGCACUGUUUCAACAAGUUGAUUAUGACAAAG